UACGGAGGGGGCUAGCGUUGUUCGGAAUCACUGGGCGUAAAGGGUGCGUAGGCGGGUCUUUAAGUCAGGGGUGAAAUCCUGGAGCUCAACUCCAGAACUGCCUUUGAUACUGAAGAUCUUGAGUUCGGGAGAGGUGAGUGGAACUGCGAGUGUAGAGGUGAAAUUCGUAGGUAUUCGCAAGAACACCAGUGGCGAAGGCGGCUCACUGGCCCGAUACUGACGCUGAGGCACGAAAGCGUGGGGAGCAAACAGG
rnacentral:rRNA from 1 species